UGCCAUUGCUUGUUUUAUGGUGAUGCUUGUGUUGUUAGGAAGCAGUAUGACUGUAGGUAUGUUCUAGCUUUUGUUCUUCUGAAGUAGGUUUCUUAUGGGAUAACUGGAAGUUUUCUUAAAUAUGAUGUUGAAGCACAUUGUUUCUAUGCCAUGGAGGGAUAAUACUUGUUACCAAUUAUGCAAUAGUUUGACAUGGUAUGUUGUCACAAUUGAUGUCUCACUAUUAUGGUCUAACCCUUAAUAUAUUUGAGAUGCACAGAGAACUGUGAGAUUAAGCGCGACAGGAUGACAUUGUGUAUAAAGUCUGAAUGCCUCUAUCAUUGCCAACAUCGUUGGUAUUAUAAAAUCACGCAGUAUUGGUGCGAUGGUGUGGUCUUCGGCUUCUGCAAUUGCAAGAUUUGCAUCGUCGUAUAGAACUUCGAUGGAUAUUUACUAUGUCAACUGCACUUGAAGCUUUCAUUUAACAAUUGAGAACUUCGUAUCCUGGAGUAAUAGAGUUAUGUUUGGAAGCGAUAAUAAUAUGUCUAGUCUCUUAAAAAAUUUCUUAAAGGCAAAAUUCAU
rnacentral:lncRNA from 1 species